AAAUUGAAGAGUUUGAUCAUGGCUCAGAUUGAACGCUGGCGGCAGGCCUAACACAUGCAAGUCGAGCGGUAGCACAGAGAGCUUGCUCUCGGGUGACGAGCGGCGGACGGGUGAGUAAUGUCUGGGAAACUGCCUGAUGGAGGGGGAUAACUACUGGAAACGGUAGCUAAUACCGCAUAACGUCGCAAGACCAAAGUGGGGGACCUUCGGGCCUCAUGCCAUCAGAUGUGCCCAGAUGGGAUUAGCUAGUAGGUGGGGUAACGGCUCACCUAGGCGACGAUCCCUAGCUGGUCUGAGAGGAUGACCAGCCACACUGGAACUGAGACACGGUCCAGACUCCUACGGGAGGCAGCAGUGGGGAAUAUUGCACAAUGGGCGCAAGCCUGAUGCAGCCAUGCCGCGUGUGUGAAGAAGGCCUUCGGGUUGUAAAGCACUUUCAGCGGGGAGGAAGGCGUUAAGGUUAAUAACCUUGUCGAUUGACGUUACCCGCAGAAGAAGCACCGGCUAACUCCGUGCCAGCAGCCGCGGUAAUACGGAGGGUGCAAGCGUUAAUCGGAAUUACUGGGCGUAAAGCGCACGCAGGCGGUCUGUCAAGUCGGAUGUGAAAUCCCCGGGCUCAACCUGGGAACUGCAUUCGAAACUGGCAGGCUAGAGUCUUGUAGAGGGGGGUAGAAUUCCAGGUGUAGCGGUGAAAUGCGUAGAGAUCUGGAGGAAUACCGGUGGCGAAGGCGGCCCCCUGGACAAAGACUGACGCUCAGGUGCGAAAGCGUGGGGAGCAAACAGGAUUAGAUACCCUGGUAGUCCACGCCGUAAACGAUGUCGAUUUGGAGGUUGUGCCCUUGAGGCGUGGCUUCCGGAGCUAACGCGUUAAAUCGACCGCCUGGGGAGUACGGCCGCAAGGUUAAAACUCAAAUGAAUUGACGGGGGCCCGCACAAGCGGUGGAGCAUGUGGUUUAAUUCGAUGCAACGCGAAGAACCUUACCUGGUCUUGACAUCCACAGAACUUUCCAGAGAUGGAUUGGUGCCUUCGGGAACUGUGAGACAGGUGCUGCAUGGCUGUCGUCAGCUCGUGUUGUGAAAUGUUGGGUUAAGUCCCGCAACGAGCGCAACCCUUAUCCUUUGUUGCCAGCGGUUCGGCCGGGAACUCAAAGGAGACUGCCAGUGAUAAACUGGAGGAAGGUGGGGAUGACGUCAAGUCAUCAUGGCCCUUACGACCAGGGCUACACACGUGCUACAAUGGCAUAUACAAAGAGAAGCGACCUCGCGAGAGCAAGCGGACCUCAUAAAGUAUGUCGUAGUCCGGAUUGGAGUCUGCAACUCGACUCCAUGAAGUCGGAAUCGCUAGUAAUCGUAGAUCAGAAUGCUACGGUGAAUACGUUCCCGGGCCUUGUACACACCGCCCGUCACACCAUGGGAGUGGGUUGCAAAAGAAGUAGGUAGCUUAACCUUCGGGAGGGCGCUUACCACUUUGUGAUUCAUGACUGGGGUGAAGUCGUAACAAGGUAACCGUAGGGGAACCUGCGGUUGGAUCACCUCCUUA
rnacentral:rRNA from 1 species